GUUCCCCCUCAUGUUACCCCUAAACUUCUGUCCCUUAAUUCUCAAAUCAUGUCCUCUUGUUUGAAUCUUCCCUACUCUCAAUGGUAAAAGCUUAUCCACUCUCAAACACAAAGU